UAGAAACUUCCCAACUCAAUCUCCAACCAUUCAUCUUCAUCAUGCUCGCUACUUUGGCAGUGACAAGAGGCUUUCCCCUUUCGUAUAUAUACAGUUCCUUUCGAUUUGCGGUUGCCAACCUCCACCCACACCUCUGAAGGUGAUUUCUAGCCAGCAAAUGGUUCUGAGUUCAGCAGCUUCUGCAAACCUACACACAAAUCACAAAAGGGGGUUAAGAUAUUCCAAGUUUAAGCUGUAGGCAGAGCUUUGUCGCUCAUAAUGGUUAUAUUGGCUCGAACUUGCAAGAACAAUUCAAGGAACCAAUUUUUUUUUAAAAAAAGGUACUGAUUAGUUAUACCUUGAGCCUUGAACUGGUUUCCAGGACCAAUACAGAGGACUGCUUCCCCAUGCAAUUGAAAGCUUCCUUGCGCUCAAUAGGGCAAUGAGAGAGGAACCACCAACCUAGAAAUAAUACCAUGAUAAUAUAGUGGCAGAAAUUUCUCCCAGACACUAUCUGAAUCCGCCAUUGACCUCACAAUGGAGGAGGUUUGAAAGGAUCUACACACAUCUUGAG